rnacentral:rRNA from 1 species
AGCUUGUUGGUGAGGUAAAAGCUCACCAAGGCGACGAUCUGUAGCGGGUCUGAGAGGAUGAUCCGCCACACUGGAACUGAGACACGGUCCAGACUCCUACGGGAGGCAGCAGUGGGGAAUUUUGGACAAUGGGGGCAACCCUGAUCCAGCCAUGCCGCGUGAGUGAAGGAGGCCUUCGGGUUGUAAAGCUCUUUCAGCCGGGAAGAAAACGCAUGGGUUAAUACCCUGUGUGUAUGACGGUACCGGAAUAAGAAGCACCGGCUAACUACGUGCCAGCAGCCGCGGUAAUACGUAGGGUGCGAGCGUUAAUCGGAAUUACUGGGCGUAAAGCGUGCGCAGGCGGUUUUGUAAGACAGGCGUGAAAUCCCCGGGCUUAACCUGGGAACUGCGUUUGUGACUGCAAGGCUAGAGUACGGCAGAGGGGGGUGGAAUUCCACGUGUAGCAGUGAAAUGCGUAGAGAUGUGGAGGAACACCAAUGGCGAAGGCAGCCCCCUGGGUCGAUACUGACGCUCAUGCACGAAAGCGUGGGUAGCAAACAGGAUUAGAUACCCUGGUAGUCCACGCCCUAAACGAUGUCAACUAGGUGUUGGGAGGGUAAAACCUUUUAGUACCGGAGCUAACGCGUGAAGUUGACCGCCUGGGGAGUACGGCCGCAAGGUUAAAACUCAAAGGAAUUGACGGGGACCCGCACAAGCGGUGGAUGAUGUGGAUUAAUUCGAUGCAACGCGAAAAACCUUACCUACCCUUGACAUGCCAAGAACUUUCCAGAGAUGGAUUGGUGCCCGAAAGGGAACUUGGACACAGGUGCUGCAUGGCUGUCGUCAGCUCGUGUCGUGAGAUGUUGGGUUAAGUCCCGCAACGAGCGCAACCCUUGUCGUUAAUUGCCAUCAUUUAGUUGGGCACUUUAACGAGACUGCCGGUGACAAACCGGAGGAAGGUGGGGAUGACGUCAAGUCCUCAUGGCCCUUAUGGGUAGGGCUUCACACGUCAUACAAUGGUCGGUACAAAGGGUCGCCAAGCCGCGAGGUGGAGCCAAUCCCAGAAAGCCGAUCGUAGUCCGGAUCGCAGUCUGCAACUCGACUGCGUGAAGUCGGAAUCGCUAGUAAUCGUGGAUCAGAAUGUCACGGUGAAUACGUUCCCGGGUCUUGUACACACCGCCCGUCACACCAUGGGAGCGGGUUCCGCCAGAAGUAGGUAGCCUAACCGCAAGGAGGGCGCUUACCACGGCGGGGUUCGUGACUGGGGUGAAGUCGUAACAAGGUAGCCGUAGGGGAACCUGCGGCUG